AUUGAACGCUGGCGGCAUGCCUUACACAUGCAAGUCGAACGGCAGCACGGGUGCUUGCACCUGGUGGCGAGUGGCGAACGGGUGAGUAAUACAUCGGAACAUGUCCUGUAGUGGGGGAUAGCCCGGCGAAAGCCGGAUUAAUACCGCAUACGAUCUACGGAUGAAAGCGGGGGACCUUCGGGCCUCGCGCUAUAGGGUUGGCCGAUGGCUGAUUAGCUAGUUGGUGGGGUAAAGGCCUACCAAGGCGACGAUCAGUAGCUGGUCUGAGAGGACGACCAGCCACACUGGGACUGAGACACGCCCCAGACUCCCACGGGAGGCAGCAGUGGGGAAUUUUGGAAAAUGGGGGAAAGCCUGACCCAGAAAUGCCGGGUGUGUGAAGAAGGCCUUCGGGUUGUAAAGCCCUUUUGUCCGGAAAGAAACCCUGGGCCCUAAAACGGUGGGGGGAUGACGGUACCGGAAGAAUAAGCCCCGGCUAACUACGU
rnacentral:rRNA from 1 species